rnacentral:lncRNA from 1 species
AGGGAGAGGGAGAGCGAGGAGGGACUUACCGGUGGGGGGAUGCACUCCGACCAUCAAAGUGAAUGGGGUAGGGGGGGUGGUGUUGGUGACCAGUGAGGUGGGACUUGGGAGCCUCUUGAACAUCACUCGAGCAAGGGGCAUGGGAAUCAAACAAGCAGGGGUUGAGGGUCGGGGGCGAACCAUCGAGAGAAUACGAUAUUUAAGCAAGCCAGGGUGGGGGAUUUAAGUGAAACUAGGCCCCAUCUCGAAUCAAAUGGAUGAACCGUGCCAGUCCCUAGCUCGUCCAAUUUGGUAUACCUCAAACCCACUGGUUCGGCAUGGUUUAACCUUUCUUGGUUUGCACUCUAUAACAUGCUUUUUUCUUCAAGGGCAUAUUUACUUUCUCAUGUGUCAUUUUGUUGAAAAGCUUUUGAGCUUUCUAGCAUAGCUUUCCACUAGCCAUUAUAGGGAAAGCUUCGUUGAUAACACUAACAAUAUCAAAAAGUAAUUUAAUGAUAUGUAGAAGAUAAACAUGAUGCAAGUGUAAGUGAAUUUACUUUCACUUGUUUUUUCCAACAUUCGCAUUCUCGAUAUUGGACCCCGUAAUGGUACAAUGUUGGUAUGCACAAUAAAGGCAUAGGUUUAGCAUACCGACACUCGAUAUGCCCCUCAUACCAAGCAUCUAUUCGAUAUCAUAGCGUACGGCAUGCUCGGUACGUGAUGAUACGUGCCAAUAUUGCGAACGUUGGUUUCUUGAAAAAUAUUCAUUUAAAUUGAAUAAUAGGAAUGUUUGGUGAAUGAGGAUUCAUGAACCAAACCCUAGAUAGUUGGGGCUAGUCUCAUGGUUAUGUUACUCACCAUUUAAAAAAUAGGAAUGUUAAGAUCUUUAGGAUUUUCUUGCUUAAAUUUGGUUGAGAAGUGGGUUGAUGAAAGAGCUAUUAUUUCAAGAUUUCAAUAUGACCUUGAUGUACCCAUAAAACUCUUUCACUUGCUAUAGGAAUAUGACGGGAAGAAAUAAUAGGAAAUGGUAGCAGGACAUGUUUGGCUUGCUCAUGAAUAACUUAGUAUUUCCUUAUACUUGUCUGCCUAGAUAACAGUACAUUAGAGCAAUUCAGAUAAUCUUACAUGAACAUUCAAAAGUUUUGGGAGCUGAAGAUUGUAGCACUUGAACCCUCGAGGAUGCGAGAUGAAGCAUAUUAGGAGUUUUGAGUAUUGUAAGACUCAUACCCUUUGUCACUAUGAGAGUACCCAAGUUAUGUAUACUGCAGUUGCCACAUUCCAAGACUAGAUGUUUAACAAAAUGCUCAUAGUCAAACACUUCAGGAGGGAGAUAAAAGGAGGUAGUCUAGUGGAACAUGGAAUUGUAGGGUGUGAUCUACUUAAGACACUAUAGAACUCUCAAUUUACAUGGUAAUAACUGAUAGAUAUGUAUCAUUAGAUACAAUAUGUGCGAGUUUUGGCAGCUCUACUCAGUUAUUUUUGUUAUGGCCAGUGUUUACCUUGAAAGUAGAUUAGGGCCACAAGUCUUAUGAUGGGGCAAAAUGAUAUCAGUUAAGGAUUACUUGAUCCUAAUCAUUGUUGAUCAAGGGAAAUGUAUGCCGAACCAGGCCGAAUCGUCCGGUUCACCCCGUAUCAAACUGUACCGGUGUGGAAUUGGGUCGGUUCGGCUCUGUUUUUCGGAACACAUUAUGAACCGCUUUGAACCGAGCGGUUCGGAGGGGAACCGGUGCGAACCGGUUCGGUCCCCUCCUCUUUAAAGGCUUGAAAUUGGUUUGUUGAACUGGGGGUGAACCGCCCAGUUCACCCCAUAUCGAAAUGGUAUCGUACUGAAUCGGCAGCCGACUGACACGAGUCCCAAUACUAGUUUGGCUAACCUUGAUUAAGGGAGUUAUUGCAACCAAGAAGUUAGAGGAUGAUACGACAUUACGCGGUUCCAAGCAACUUGAAUGAUUCUCUAGUAGUUCCAAAAGUGGGCAAAAAAGGGUGGAAAAAGAACAAUAUCUCCCUUUCGGACUUCUAACUCACUAUGACUACCAUACUGCAAUAUGAGCAUCCCCUGGAUUC